rnacentral:rRNA from 1 species
UACGAGGGGGGCGAGCGUUGUUCGGAAUCACUGGGCGUAAAGAGUGCGUAGGCGGCGAUGAAAGUUAGGUGUGAAAGCCCAGGGCUUAACCCUGGAAUUGCACUUAAAACUACAUCGCUCGAAUCUCGGAGAGGAUAGCGGAAUUGUCAGUGUAGCAGUGAAAUGCGUAGAUAUUGACAGGAACACCAGUGGCGUAAGCGGCUAUCUGGACGAGUAUUGACGCUGAGGCACGAAAGCGUGGGGAUCAAACAGG